rnacentral:rRNA from 1 species
GAGGUAACGGCUCACCAAGGCAACGACGGGUAGCGGGACUGAGAGGUUGGCCCGCCACAUCGGGACUGAGACACUGCCCGGACCUCCACGGAGGGCUGCAGUAACGGAUAUUGGGCAAUGGGCGAAAGCCUGACCCAGCAAUGCCGCGUGCAGGAUGAAGCCCCUAGGGGUGUAAACUGCUGUCAGGGGUCAGAAGGCUGGUUUCGGCCAGUUGAUCAACCCCAGAGGAAGUCACGGCUAACUUCGUGCCAGCAGCCGCGGUAAUACGAAGGUGGCAAGCGUUAUUCGGAAUCAUUGGGCUUAAGGGGCACGCAGGCGGAACAGUGUGUGUUGUGUGAAAUCCCCCGGCUUAACCGGGGAAUUGCACAGCAAACUGCUGUUCUUGAGGCAGGUAGGGGUGCAUGGAACUCUUGGUGGAGCGGUGGAAUGCGUAGAUAUCAAGAGGAACGCCAGAGGUGAAGACGGUGCACUGGGCCUGUCCUGACGCUGAGGUGCGAAAGCGUGGGGAGCGAACGGGAUUAGAUACCCCGGUAGUCCACGCCGUAAACGAUGUCUACUAGGUCGUGGGUGUUCUGACACAUUCACGGCCGGAGCAAAAGUGUUUAGUAGACCGCCUGGGGAGUACGGCCGCAAGGUUAAAACUCAAAUGAAUUGACGGGGGCUCACACAAGCGGUGGAGCAUGUGGAUUAAUUCGAAGCAACGCGCAGAACCUUACCUGGGUUUGACAUGCUUGUAUGCCUUCUCUGAAAGGAGUUAGGCUGCCUUCGGGUGAAACUUGCACAGGUGCUGCAUGGCUGUCGUCAGCUCGUGUCGUGAGAUGUCGGGGUUAAGUCCUUUAACGGAGCGAAACCCUUGCCGUUAGUUGCCAGCGAGUAAUGUCGGGGACUCUAACGGGACUGCCGGUGUUAAACCGGAGGAAGGUGGGGAUGACGUCAAGUCCUCAUGGCCUUUAUGCCCAGGGCUUCACACGUGCUACAAUGGCAAUUACAGAGCGACGCGAUACCGCGAGGUGGAGCAAAUCGCAAAAAAAUUGCCUCAGUUCGGAUUGCAGGCUGGCAAUUCGCCUGCAUGAAGUCGGAAUCGCUAGUAAUCGCGUAUCAGCAAUGACGCGGUGAAUGUGUUCCUGAGCCUUGUACACACCGCCCGUCAAGUGAUGGAAGCCGGGAGUACCCGAAGUCGGGUUGCUAACCUUUGGGAGGCGCCUGCCGACGGUAAGUUCGGUGAC